rnacentral:rRNA from 1 species
GAUGAACGCUAGCGGCAGGCUUAAUACAUGCAAGUCGUGGGGCAGCAGGGGUAGCAAUACCCGCUGGCGACCGGCAAACGGGUGCGGAACACGUACGCAACCUUCCUUUAACUGGAGAAUAGCCCCUCGAAAGAGGGAUUAAUACUCCGUAACAUCCCGAUGUGGCAUCACAACGGGAUUAUAGCUCCGGCGGUUAAAGAUGGGCGUGCGCCUGAUUAGAUAGUUGGCAGGGUAACGGCCACCAAGUCUGCGAUCAGUAACUGGUGUGAGAGCACGACCAGUCACACGGGCACUGAGACACGGGCCCGACUCCUACGGGAGGCAGCAGUAAGGAAUAUUGGUCAAUGGACGCAAGUCUGAACCAGCCAUGCCGCGUGGAGGAUUAAGGCCCUCUGGGUUGUAAACUCCUUUUUAUC